AAGAAGUCAGGCCACUACAAGUGCCAUAACUUGAGCAAAUUAUGCAGCCUGUAGCUCCACCUGGGAAGGUGUAAAAAAUCUGGGAGGCCACAAACCAUGGAAGCUGUACGCAUGGCGUAGUGGACUAGCGGUUAGAGGAGACCCCUCCCUUGCAAAUCGCAGCAACAAUGGGGGCCCAAGGUGAGAUGAAGCUGUAGUCUCACUGGAAGGACUAGAGGUUAGAGGAGACCCCCCCGAAACAAAAAACAGCAUAUUGACGCUGGGAAAGACCAGAGAUCCUGCNNNNNNNNNNNNNNNNUUCCAGGCACAGAACGCCAGAAAAUGGAAUGGUGCUGUUG
rnacentral:lncRNA from 1 species